rnacentral:rRNA from 1 species
GUGGGGAAUAUUGGGCAAUGGGGGCAACCCUGACCCAGCAACGCCGCGUGAGGGAAGAAGGUUUUCGGAUUGUAAACCUCUGUCCUAUGGGAAGAAGGAAGUGACGGUACCAUAGGAGGAAGCCCCGGCUAACUACGUGCCAGCAGCCGCGGUAAUACGUAGGGGGCGAGCGUUGUCCGGAAUUACUGGGCGUAAAGGGUGCGCAGGUGGCCUGACAAGUCAGAUGUGAAAUACCGAUGCUUAACGUCGGGGCUGCAUUUGAAACUAUGAGGCUGGAGUGCAGGAGAGGGAAGCGGAAUUCCUAGUGUAGCGGUGAAAUGCAUAGAUAUUAGGAGGAACACCAGUGGCGAAGGCGGCUUUCUGGACGGUGUCUGACACUGAGGCGCGAAAGCUAGGGGAGCGAACGGGAUUAGAAACCCCGGUAGUCC